UACGGAGGGGGCUAGCGUUGUUCGGAAUUACUGGGCGUAAAGCGCACGUAGGCGGACUGGAAAGUCAGGGGUGAAAUCCCGGGGCUCAACCCCGGAACUGCCUUUGAAAAUCCCGGUCUUGAGGUCGAGAGAGGUGAGUGGAAGUUCGAGUGGAGAGGUGAAAUUCGUAGAUAUUCGGAGGAACACCAGUGGCGAAGGCGGCUCACUGGCUCGAUACUGACGCUGAGGUGCGAAAGCGUGGGGAGCAAACAGG
rnacentral:rRNA from 1 species